rnacentral:lncRNA from 1 species
UUUUGUCCGUUUUCUUAGGCAAACAAUGUUACCCAUGUAGCGAGCUUUGGGUCAGUGACUCCCAAACCAAACGGUCUUAGGGCACUAGGUUUUGAAAUCCCCCUACGGACUUAAUUGCUCGAGUAACAAAGGCCACAAAACGAGACUAGUCAAUCUACUUUUGCCCAUUUAUCUAAAGAUUUUAUCUAUAAAGAACAAUGGGUAUUGAAGUAGCUUAUUCUAUGUCUUUUUCUAUCUUUUUUUUUUUUUUUUUUCCUUUUUUUUAUUCGCAAAGGUUCGAUUCGACAUUGUUUCAACAUGUGGGUUCUCUCUCAGGUAUCGAAUAAUAUCACUAGACAAUCU